rnacentral:rRNA from 1 species
AUUGAACGCUGGCGGCAGGCCUAACACAUGCAAGUCGAGCGGAUGAAGAGAGCUUGCUCUCUGAUUUAGCGGCGGACGGGUGAGUAAUGCCUAGGAAUCUGCCUGGUAGUGGGGGAUAACGUUCCGAAAGGACCGCUAAUACCGCAUAAGACCACGCCCUCGAAAGAGGAUGCGGUCAAAGCUGGCCUCUAUUCAUAAGCUAGCACUUGAGGAUGAGCCCGCGGCGCAUCAGCUAGUUGGUGAGGUAAUGGCUCACCAAGGCUAAGACGCGUAGCUGGUCUGAGAGGAUGAUCAGCCACACUGGAACUGAGACACGGUCCAGACUCCUACGGGAGGCAGCAGUGGGGAAUCUUGCGCAAUGGGCGAAAGCCUGACGCAGCGACGCCGCGUGAGUGAUGAAGGCCUUCGGGUUGUAAAGCUCUGUGAGGAGAGACGAAUAAGUGCAGUCUAAUACAUUGCAUGAUGACGGUAUCUCCUUAGCAAGCACCGGCUAACUCUGUGCCAGCAGCCGCAGUAAAAC